AAAUAGACUGCGUUAGGGAUUGCAAUGGAAAUCCUUUUUAUUUUUAGUUGGAGUGAAUUUGUGAAAUUAUCGAAAUAAAAAUAUAUUUUUAUUGAAGAUAGCAAGCGUAGCUUAACAAAUUUGUAACGAGAACAAAAUAAAAAGAUUGUAAUGUAAAGCCCGACCUGAA
rnacentral:sRNA from 1 species